GACGAACGCUGGCGGCGUGCUUAACACAUGCAAGUCGAACGCUGAAGCUUGGUGCUUGCACUGGGUGGAUGAGUGGCGAACGGGUGAGUAAUACGUGAGUAACCUGCCCUUGACUCUGGGAUAAGCCUGGGAAACUGGGUCUAAUACUGGAUACGACAUGUCACCGCAUGGUGGUGUGUGGAAAGGGUUUUACUGGUUUUGGAUGGGCUCACGGCCUAUCAGCUUGUUGGUGGGGUAAUGGCUCACCAAGGCGACGACGGGUAGCCGGCCUGUGAGGGUGACCGGCCACACUGGGACUGAGACACGGCCCAGACUCCUACGGGAGGCAGCAGUGGGGAAUAUUGCACAAUGGGCGGAAGCCUGAUGCAGCGACGCCGCGUGAGGGAUGACGGCCUUCGGGUUGUAAACCUCUUUCAGCACGGAAGAAGCGAAAGUGACGGUACGUGCAGAAGAAGCGCCGGCUAACUACGUGCCAGCAGCCGCCGUAACAC
rnacentral:rRNA from 1 species